rnacentral:tRNA from 1 species
UAAAAAAUUAGUUAAAAUUAUAACAUUAGUUUGUCAAACUAAAAUUAUUAAAUAUAAUAUUUUUU